UCUCUCUCUCUUCCUCCUCCUCCUCCUCCUCCUCCUCCUUGAUUCAAGAACCCUAUGUGGAGUUUUGUAUCCAAAAUUGAAAAACGCUUGGUAAGAAAGGUCAUUUGAUUUCCUGCUAUUUUAUUGUGUCCUUUGUUUGGCUCCCUAUAAAUGGAUGAAAAGAGAGAAAUGAGGGAUUUUGAGGUUCAUGUAAUCUGUUGCUCUGUUCCAAAAUGAAAUGGUAAUUUCACUCAAUGAACCAAUUAAUUGCAUUAUGACCAAAUGAGUGGAGUUUUUUGAACACUGAGUGGUGGAAAAUUUAAGACUCAAUCAUCUUGAUUUUAUUUUCUAUCCUUCUUAUUAACUAAUGGAUGAUUUCAGACUUGUUUUUUUUUUUUUUUUGAUGAUUUCAACCUUCUAAUUUUGAUCAUAUUCCUUGUAUAGUGAUUAUGUUUCUGUUAAUUUUUGCAUAAUUGAAUUCAUUUUGGAUUUUCUCCACAUAAAUAUUGACACUGCCUUUAUCUAAAUUGUAUCACCAUAUGUGCAAUCAUUUAUGUUUACAUUUGAUGCCGAUUGCUGAAGUAAUAGGAACUCUAAGAUUAUAUUUUUGUGUGUUUUCUUCAUCUUUUUCUCCCGCUUUGAUGUCUAUUGUGUAGCAGCAGUGUAGUGAUGCUUGAUUUAUUUACUUAGAAAAAAAAAAAAAUGAAAAAGUGGAAAAAGUAAGAAAAAAAGUGUAGUGGGAGUUUAAACUUUAAACAAGAUGGGGUGGGGGAAGUUAAACGGGGACGGAGAUGGGGUGGGAGGAGGAUUUUCUAAAUGGUUUUGGGGGAACCCGCCCCUGUUAUUAUUAUUAUUAUUAUGGUUGGGUUAAAGUUGACAUACUAGGGUAGAUAACUCUGCUGUACAUUUUGGAUGUCUUAAUUUGCAGAUCCAUUGCACAAGAGAGAAAGAUCUAUCUACCUAUCUGAGCGUCCUGUAUUUGAAUAUUAAUUGUUGCUGAUCGAUGAGGCGGAAAAGACAGAGGAGGACUGUAUCUCAAAGGGAUUGCUCUGAGGCAUGUCCAAGAAAUGGGAAUACUGCAUCUGUAAUGCACUUUGAGGAAGAAGCAGAUACUGCAUUGCACUCUUCUUCUACAUCACUUCCAGCCCCAGGAGGCGAAUACCAAGUCUUCUUGAGUUUCAGAGGCCCAGACACGCCACGGCUUCACGGAUUUCCUGUACACUUUUCUCACUGACAAAGGAGUUCGCACCUUUCGAGACGAUGAAGAGCUCCGCAAAGGAGAAGAGAUCCUCCCUGAACUCCUCAAAGCAAUCAAGGAGUCAAGGAUCUCAAUUCCAAUCUUCUCCAAAACUUAUGCUUCCAGUAAAUGGUGCCUUAUGGAGCUACAGCUGAUGCUGGAGUGCAAGAGAAGAAUGGGACAAUUGAUUUUACCCGUCUUCUAUGAUGUCACACCCUCGGAAGUGAAGCAUCAAUCACCUGGGAGUAUGUACGAUGAGGCCUUCAAGAAGCACAAGGAAUCUGGGACUUUCAAUGACGAGAUUAUUGAGCUAUGGAAGAAGGCAUUAAAGGAGGUUGGACAUCUCAAUGGUUGGGAUCUCAAAACAGAAGCUGAUGAGCUUCAAGGAAAACUAAUAAGAGAUCAAAUUGUUCCAAAAGUGUUGUCAGUACUGAAGACGAAAUUCAUGGACGUAACUAAAAACUUGGUUGGAAUGGAUCAUCACGAAAAUGAAAUGAUGAGACUAUUAAAUAUUGCCUCCGACGAUGUACAAGUUGUUGGUAUCCAUGGCAUGAGUGGUAUUGGCAAGACAACUGUUGCCAAAUUCAUCUACAACAAACUCUCGGAGAACUUUGACUGUUGUAGCUUCCUUGCAGAUGUUCAAGAAAUGGGAAAAACUCCCCAAGGUCUUGUUUGUUUGCAAAACCAACUUCUCGCUGACACAUUAGAUUGGAGCCCUUGCUUUGCUAAUGUAGACAGAGGAAUAGCCAUUAUUAAAUCAACAUUUUGUAACAAGAAAGUUCUCAUUGUUCUUGAUGAUGUGAAUUCCAGUCAACAAUUUGUUAAUCUUGUGGGAGAGCGUGAUUGCUUUGGUAGAGGAAGUAAGAUCAUUGUUACAACCAAAAACAAAGGCGUUUUAAAUGCUCUUAAAGUUGAAUGGACUUAUGAACUCCCAUUUAUGAAUGAUGUGCAAUCUCUUCAGUUUUUCAGCAAGUGUGCAUUCCACAUGGAGUUUCCUCCAAAAGAAUUUAUUAGUAUCUCUAGAAAGAUUGCAUCCACUGCGGGAGCACUUCCUCUAGCUCUCGAGUCUUUAGAUUUGUCUAAAUAUGGGAAGCGUGAGAUGUGGGAAGAUGCAUUGAAGAAGUUUGCAGAAACACCGGAUGAUGAUGUUUUGAAAAAGUUGAGUGUAGAUUACGAAGCAUUAAAAAAUGACCAACGGAAAAUAUUUCUAGAUAUUGCAUGCCUUUUUGCUGGGAUGGAUAAAACAACUGUAUUUUACAUGUGGGAUGAUUGUGGUUAUCAUCCAAAGACAGGAUUUGAAGACCUUGAUCUCAUGUCUCUUGUGAAAGUGGGAGAUGCUAAUAAGUUGUGGAUGCACAAUCAACUUAUAGCUCUUGGGAAGAAAAUCGUCAAUGAAGAAAUUUAUCAGGAAUACCGUAGUAGAUUGUGGAAUCACGUGGAAGCCUUGGAAAUAUUAGAGGAAGGGGAGGGAACCAAAAAGGUUGAGGCCUUAAGUCUUCGCUUUAACUUAAAGUCUGAAGAGAAGCGUUGCUUUACAAAUAAGAAAUUCAUUAAACUAAAAAAUCUAAGGUAUCUCCGAGUGGAUGGGGCAGACCUUAAUGGGGAUUUUACUGAUGUUCUGUUGUCCUUAAGAUGGCUUAUUUGGCGUGGUUGCCCUCGGGAUUUUGAACCAUUGAAUUUUUAUAUGAAGAAUCUAGUCAUUCUUGAUCUAUCAAAGAGUGGCAUCACAGAAAAAUGGGCGGUUUGGAAUCAAAUCCAGAUGUCGAAAAAGUUAAAAGUUCUACAAUUGGCUGAUUGUGCUUUGACGAGCACUCCUAACUUUUCAUCAGAUGCUGCUUUGGAGAUAUUGAUUCUUGCACGUUGUACAAGUUUAGAAAAUAUUGACCCAUCCAUUGGCAAUCUAAAGAAAUUGAAAGUGCUUGACAUUUCACAUACUAAUAUAAGGAAGUUACCUGAUGAAAUUUGUAUGUUGGAGAAUUUGGAAGUGAUGGACUUCACAGAGUGUAGUAAGUUGGACGCAGACUUUCCUAGUAAUAUGGAAAGACUAUCAUCUUUGAGAUUCUUAAGCUUUUAUGGUUCCAAAAUUCAAAGUCUACCAGCGAGCAUUUCGGGGUUCACUCAGCUCCAAACUCUUAACAUAGGAGGCUGCACAGAGCUUCAGUUGCAGCCAGAGCUUCUUCCCUCAAGUUUAAGGAUUCUGAAUGUCGGUGAAAUCCCUGACCUUAUAAGUCUGGUUGAUUUACAGGAAUUGCAAUUUUUUGAGUGCCAUAAUCUUGUGGAUAUGCCCAGAGAUAUUGGGAGAUUACUCAAAUUGGAGAAACUGACCUUGGAUGAUACCAAAAUUAAGUCCUUACCGAAAGAUAUUGGCCUCCUUUCUCUGCUGAAGGUGCUCGACAUACGAUCCUGUGAGGAUCUCCAAUGUAUAUUGGGGUUACCCUCUAGUCUAGUUGAGUUAUCUAUUGCAAUGUGUGAUGCAUUAGAAACAUUGCCAGACCUAUCAAAUUUGAAGAUUUUGUCAAGUUUGUUGCUCAAGAAUUGUGAUAAGCUAGCACAGGUUCAAGGGCUUGGAAAAUUAGAAUCUUUGACAAGUUUGUACAUAUUUGCGUGCGGGAUGCUAGCUACUUUUGAAAACAUGGUUGAUGUGUCAAACUUAAAGAAGUUGGAAAUAUUAUUUAUUAGUAAUUGUUCAGAACUUGCUACGAUCCAAGGGCUUGAUGGAUUGAAAUCAUUGAAAUAUUUGAAUUUGUGCGAUUGCGAGAACUUGUGCAAGAUUGAGGGCCUUGAGGCACUGGAAUCUUUGGAAGUAUUGGACGUGCUAAGGUGCACAUCAUUGGAACCAAUACCAGAUCUGCAAUACACGUGUGUAAUAAGUCGCGAAGAUCAGAUCACCAAUUCAGUGUACAGCUAUUGGACAGAGUUGACAGACAGAAAAUUGGAUGGGCUGCGGCUACCGGUGUUAAGUGGAUAUACAAAUGAAGAUGCACACAAGAAGAAUGCAAAUUUUACAACUUAAUACUUUUGGAAGGGAUUCCAAUUAUGACUAACAUGAUUAAUAGUUAGGUGCCAUUGGUGAACAGUCACUUUGUGAAUAUAAAAGGUUUUAUAGAACGUUGUGGGCUGCCAAAAGACAUGAGCUGAAGGCUCUAUACAAGGCAAGUGGACAUAGGAGUGAAGAUGUACCAGGAGGGAGUAUUAUGGAAGCAAUGGCUUCUUGUAUUAUAGAAGCAGAGUGUUUUUUUUGCUUUGUAAUGGGAAUAGUUUUGUUGUCGCUAGUACAAAAAGACUACUGUUUUAAUUGUGAAUGGGAGAAGAGAGGUUCUAUCAUUUUUUUCCCUAAUAAUAUAAGAAAGUAGAUGCUCCAUUUUCUUGUA